rnacentral:ncRNA from 1 species
AGAGUCACCCUUAAGGUGCUCUUUUUCUGCGUGUUAAUAGCUUUUCUCAUUGGCCUGUGAAAGCGGUUAGUGAAUC